CAGACGAUGCGUCAUGCAUAUCAAUAAGCGGAGGAAAAGAAACUAACAAGGAUUCCCUUAGUAACGGCGAGUGAAGCGGGAAGAGCUCAAAUUUGAAAUCUUCAAGGUUUUACCUUGACGAAUUGUAGUUUAAAGAAGUGUUUUCUGUUGAAGUUUUGGUAAAAGUUCUUUGGAAUAGGACAUCAUAGAGGGUGAGAAUCCCGUAUUUGACCAUUAUUUUCAGCUUUGUGAUACACUUUCAAAGAGUCGGAUUGUUUGGGAAUGCAGUCCAAAAUGGGUGGUAAAUUUCAUCUAAAGCUAAAUAUUGGCGAGAGACCGAUAGCGAACAAGUACCGUGAGGGAAAGAUGAAAAGAACUUUGAAAAGAGAGUUAAACAGUACGUGAAAUUGUCAAAAGGGAAGCGUUUGACACCAGUGUUGUUUUCUCGAAAAUCAAUUAAAAAGAGUUUGAUUUUGUUGUGUAUUGACCUUAACAGCUUGCAUUUCAAUUUUCUUGCUUUUUUUAAUGCACUUUUCGUUUAACAAGUCAACAUCAGUUUCUUUUGUUGUAAAAAGGUCAUUGGAAGGUGGCUUUCUUUUCGGAGAAAGUGUUUAUAGCCUUUGACUCCUGCAAUCGGAGAGACUGAGGUCUGCAGCGUAGAUCCUUCGGGGUUAGAUACAUUUGUGCUAAGUUAUAGCUUUUUAUAGACAACUUGUUGACUAUGAUUAGUCUUGUAGCUUACUCGCUUAUGCUAUUUUACCUACGCUUAGGAUGUUGAGUCGUAGAGCACGCAG
rnacentral:rRNA from 1 species